GUGCUCACUUCAGCAGCACAUAUACUAAAACUUGAACGACAGAGAAGACUAGCAUGGCCCCUGUGCAAGGAUGACAUGCAAAUUUGUGAAGCUUUCCAUAUUUAA